rnacentral:lncRNA from 1 species
CUCUCUCAAGAACAAAGUCGCAUUAAAGUUAUAGAAGCCUUGACAGAAACCCUCCAGAAAAGGCUGAAUGAGUCCCUUGACUUGGAUGUGCAGAAAAAUACAGCAUCAAAAAUAGCAAAGAAAGUGGAGACGGAGAUAUUCAAACAGUUUGGCCGUGUGGAUCGGCUUUACAAAAACAAGUAUCGCAGUCUUCUCUUCAAUCUGAAAUCAACAGACAACCAGCUCUUCCACAAGUUGAUGCUUGGAAAAGUUAC